rnacentral:lncRNA from 1 species
CUCCCCACAUGGCCUCCUCCCUGCUCCCCGGCAGUCCCCACAUGCAGCAGCAGACUAGUGGGUAGAACUGCAGGGGUAUGGAGACAUCCCGAACUUCAGCAGCAGCAGUCCCAGCACCCCGCCCCCAACCUCAGGCAUGAAGAGCAAGAUCAGGGCUGAUCCACUCGAGAUUUUACUUGUGGUUGAUGUUAUUUUUCAAGUCAACGACCAAUUACAGUAACAGCAUUGAUUAAACACCGUCUCUCUGCCCUGCAUGGAAAUGCCAUCUUUCCUGUGCUUUACCUCAGAAUGGACCGGGCUUGGUUGCACACGGCUUUGAGCCCAGCACGCUGAAGACAAACAGGUGGAACUCUGUGAGUCUAAGGCCAGCCUAGUCUACAAAGAGAGUUCCAGAACAGCCAGGAGUACAUAAUGAAACCCUGUGUCAAAACACAACCAACAAACAGCGUGGGUCUUGAAUGGCUUUUAUACGUCUUGGCCUCCUGGUCUACAAACUUGCUGUGUCAAUGCCAUGUAGCCUUUCACGCUAUUCCAUCAGCUUGGUCCAGAGUUUUAGCAUCUGGCACAACUGUUCUACAUCAGUGUUUUUCAGAGAUAAAAUGCUGCUCGUGAAAUGGAAAUAUUUAGAAUUGCUUCUACAUAAAUGUUAAAUGCUUUUAUAGAACCCAAGGAAAACCCUGUUGAUGUUCUGAUUAAAAUUAAGGUUCAUCCCUUUGGAAA